UUGCAGGAAUUGGGUAUGUCAAGUCUAGUGAAAAGAAGGAUUAGGGGUGACAUGAUAGCAGUGUUCCAAUAUUUGAGAGUCUGCCACAAAGAAGAGGAGGUCAACCUAUUCUCCAAAGCACUAGAAGGGAAGACAAGAAACAAUGGAUGGAAACUAGAACUAAGGAGAAAUUUCCUAAUUGUGAAAACAAUUAACCAGUGGAACAGCUUGCCUUCAGAAGUUGUGGGUGCUCCAUCACUGAAGACUUUUAAGAGACUAGACAGCCACUUGUAUGGAAUGAUAUAGAGUCUCCUGCUUGAGCAUGGAGUUAGACUAGAAGACCUCCAAUGUCCAUUCCAACUCUGUUAUUCUGUUAAAAGAAGUGGUCAUUUAGGAACAUAUGAGUCAUGGAGCACUGUUUGAUGAAAUGGAUUGUAGGUCUUAUAAUGAAGAUCCAAGAUCCUUGAUUCCAUUCUUUCUACCCCAUCUGUCCCAAAAAAACUUUCUUAGGAUAAGUUUUGUAAGUUGUCGAGUAUGGAAAGGAUGAGGAAUAUUUAAGAAAAACUCUAUGCUUUCCUUAUUUAUUUUUUUAUUGUAUUAUUAUGGUUAUCCCUUUUUUUUGUUUGUUUAAAUGGGUAUCUGUGUAACAAUAGCUUUCAUUUUCAGGAAUUCAAGGACAAUGAUUCAGACUAGCAGAAGAAAACAAGUCAGAGGAGGCGAAAAUCAUUUCUUGCCCAAAGGCUCUUCCUUCAGAAUGCUUAAAUUGUUUUUUUUUUUUUUUUAAACUGCGACAGUUAAAUUGUUGUAGGAAAAAUUGUAUCGGAUUGAAAUUUAAAAUGGCGUUUGAAACCUUACCUUUCUAGAUUUUUCUUUGCUAUCCAAAUAUUUUGUAAUUCUAUUCCAACUGAUUCCAUAGCUUAAUUCUUUUUGGAUUUUUUAAAAGGUCAGAAGAAGGAGAAACUCUAUAUUAAAGUUUUGCUUUAUUUUCUUAUUCUUUCUUCUCUUGUUUUUUCAAGGAUCUUACUGUUAGGGUCAGUGUCAUCUGAGCUAGAUCUUUCAGAGAAAUAAUUUUUAAUGCUUUCCAUACAUUCUCAAGAAAAUGCCUGUUAUUUGUGGAAGAAAGUUUCAAUUUCUCCUUUGACAGAAUGGAACUACACAUAAAUCCUUGACUUACAACUGAGCUCAAAAGUUAUAUAGCUAAGUGAAACAUUUGUUAAGUGAGUUUUGCCCCAUUUUACAACCUUUCUUUCCACAGUUGUUAAGUGAAUCACUGCAGUUAUUACGUUAAUAACAUGAACCUGGCUUCCCCAUUGGUUUUGCUUGUUUGAAGGUCGCAAAAGGGGACCACAGUGUUAAAUCUGAGUCAGUUGCCAAACGUCUGAAUUUUGAUCACAUGACUAUGGGGAGGCUGCAUUUGUUUUUAUGCUGCCCCAUGCCACUGGAGUUCUCUGUGUGGAAUGCACUAAUCAGGAACAUGGAAUUGAAUCUGGACAUUUAACUGAAUGUGGAGUAGAACUAUACGGAUUCUUCUAAACACCGUUAUCUGCCAGAUUGGCUGUUGAAUGACAGCAACUGUGGAACAUCCUAUAUCUGAGGGAGGGAAUAUAUAUCAGAUGCUGACUUGACCUUUGCUGCUUGAAUGCAUAGAUGAAAUGCCAUCAUACUGUCUUCAAGAAAUGUUCUGCUGAUAACUAUGCUCUCCACCAUACAGACAGUGAUCUACAGUUGAUGCCGAACAAAUUCCCAGUGCUGCUAUGUUCUUUGGCUAGACUACCAGCCUUAACAAGAUUGAAAUAUUUUACCAGCAAGUGCCAAGUAUCAAAUUCAUAGAAGCAAAAAUCACUGUUAACAACACCAAACUGACAGUGUAAAUAGCUUCAAAUAUUGGGAAGCAUUAUUUGGAGUGAUGGGUCUUUAGACAAAGAAAUUGAUUCCAGGAGGAGUGAGGCCAGCUUGGCUCUGGAACAGCUGCUUACUAGAGUGUUGUACUAGAGAUGCAGCCACAUCACCACAAAUCUGAAAAUCUACAGGGUUGUGGUUAUCCCUGCUCUCCUAUGUGGAUGUGAGUCCUGGACUCUGUACUGAUGACACUUCAAACAACUGGAGAAAUUUUACUUGGACACUCUUCACUCCAUCCUUGGCAUUUGUUGACAAGAUUAUAUAUCCACCCUGGAAAUCUUGGAUGAUACAAAGUCCACCAGUGUUCCAUCUCUGAUUAUCAAAGUCAGAGGCUGUGGAUGGAACACAUCAUCAGAAUGGAUGAGCACUGUUUGUCUCGCUGAUUGCUCUGUUGUGUCCCGGAGACUGGGAAGAGACUCCUGAGAGUCAUCCAUGCAAAUGUUACAAAGAUGCUGUGAAGGAAACCCUAUGCCACUGUGCCAUCCAGUAAAGGGAACUAGAAAUUGUGGCUUCUGAUAGAAUCCCGUGCUAUGAAACCUUAAUUAGCUUUGAAGAUACUGUAGGUGCUGCCAAAAAACUAAUAGAUAAACUCUAAGCAGCAUCACAGAAUAACACCCACAGUUAUUACAACAAUGGACUUCCAGUGGCCUCAUUGUAUAAAUUGUGCAUUUCCAGACUAGGACUGUAAAACCACCUGCAUCCCCAUAGAUUAAUUGCACAAGAGCAUUUCUUCUUUGAACCUGAAAGACUACCCAUAUAUCUUAGGUAAAAUAGCUAUUCAAAUACAGCAUGUUUCAGAUGCAUCUGAAGUUAGAGUGAUUGGGUUCCAAGCUAAGCCACAUUAGUGUAUUGUUUUUUGCCUGGUCUAUUUUAAUCAAGGAACCACCAAGGAGGGAACUAUGCCUCCAUCAAAAAUGUCUGGGCAAACUACUUCAUAUCAACAAGCAGCAAACCCAUAUCACUUGCACUGAUUAUGUUACCUAGUUUGGGUAAUGAAACAUCAGCAAGCAAGCAAGCUCAGAGAGCACCAAGGACUCCACAGUUCAGUCACAAACUAUAGAUAUUCUUCUCUGUUGGAGACACAUCUUUGCUAUGAAGUUAUUAAGCAUCAACUAUACGCAGAUAGUAGUACUGACUUACUUUGUAGAGCUGUAGUAAAGAUUGUAAGAUGACUUGACUACAUGAAGUGCCUGAGUAAUUAAAGAGUAAACUCUGAAGUA